AUUGAACGCUGGCGGAAUGCUUUACACAUGCAAGUCGAACGGCAGCACGGAGAGCUUGCUCUCUGGUGGCGAGUGGCGAACGGGUGAGUAAUAUAUCGGAACGUGUCCAAUAAUGGGGGAUAACGAGUCGAAAGAUUCGCUAAUACCGCAUACGCCCUACGGGGAAGCAGGGGAUCGUAAGACCUUGCGUUAAUGGAGCGGCCGAUAUCUGAUUAGCUAGUUGGUAGGGUAACGGCCUACCAAGGCGACGAUCAGUAGGGGAUGUGAGAGCAUGAUCCCCCACACGGGUACUGAGACACGGACCCGACUCCUACGGGAGGCAGCAGUAAGGAAUAUUGGACAAUGGUCGGAAGACUGAUCCAGCCAUGCCGCGUGAAGGAUGAAGGCCCUCGGGUUGUAAACUGCUUUUGUACGGAACGAAAAGGUCUCUAUUAAUACUAGGGGCUCAUGACGGUACCGUAAGAAUAAGCACCGGCUAACUACGUGCCAGCAGCCG
rnacentral:rRNA from 1 species